GACAGAGGGGGCAAGCGUUGCUCGGAAUUACUGGGCGUAAAGGGCGCGUAGGCGGAAUGGCAAGUCGGUCGUGAAAUCCUUCGGCUCAACCGAAGAACGUCGAUCGAAACUGCCGUUCUUGAGGAUUGCAGAGGAGACUGGAAUUCCCGGUGUAGCGGUGAAAUGCGCAGAUAUCAGGAGGAACACCGGUGGCGAAGGCGGGUCUCUGGGCCUGUCCUGACGCUCAGGCGCGAAAGCGUGGGUAGCGAACAGG
rnacentral:rRNA from 1 species